GAUGAAGAACGUAGCGAAAUGCGAUACGUAAUGUGAAUUGCAGAAUUCAGUGAAUCAUCGAAUCUUUGAACGCACAUUGCGCCCCCUGGUAUUCCGGGGGGCAUGCCUGUCCGAGCGUCAUUGCAACCUUCAAGCGCGGCUUGUGUGUUGGGUCUCGUCCCCCGUGGACGGGCCCGAAAGGCAGUGGCGGCGUCCCGACAUGGUGCCCGAGCGUAUGGGAAUCCUCUUCCGCUCGAAUCGGCCCAUGCGGCGCUGGUCGUAACCAAAUUUUUUACCGGUUGACCUCGGAUCAGGUAGGGAUACCCGCUGAACUUAAGCAUAUCAAUAAGCGGAGGA
rnacentral:misc_RNA from 1 species